rnacentral:rRNA from 1 species
ACGGAAGGCAGCAGCUAAGAAUAUUCCGCAAUGGACGAAAGUCUGACGGAGCGACGCCGCGUGGAUGAUGAAGGCCGGGAGGUUGUAAAAUCCUUUUAUAACUGAGGAAUAAGCAUUGUGAGGGAAACGCAGUGUGGUGACUGUAGGUUAUGAAUAAGCAACGGCUAAUUACGUGCCAGCAGCCGCGGUAACACGUAAGUUGCGAGCGUUGUUCGGAAUUAUUGGGCGUAAAGGGCAUGUAGGCGGUCAUGAAAGUCUGUAGUGAAAUCCCUGGGCUUAACCCAGGAACUGCUAUGGAAACUGCAAGACUAGAAUUACUGAAGGGCAACUGGAAUUCCAAGUGUAGGGGUGAAAUCUGUAGAUAUUUAGAAGAACACCAAUGGCGAAGGCAAGUUGCUGGCAGAUAAUUGACGCUGAGGUGCGAAGGUGCGGGGAGCAAACAGGAUUAGAUACCCUGGUA